AAACAAAUGAUAGUCAAUAGUUAGGUUCUCUUGUUCCAAUGUAAUCGUGAGUGAUUAAAAGUAAAUUAUUCUUGAAAUUUGUGUACAGCUUACUUGUGUAGUUAAAAGCAACAUGAGCAAUACAGUUGGAUUUUCUCCUACUUCUUUGGCACAAAAUUAAUUUUUUUUGUACAAUAUUAUUCGAAAUUUGAUGCAGACAGUAUUGAAUCAAGAUAUUGCCUGCUGUGGAAAUAAUCGAAUAUUUAUGCUAACAUGCUUACUAACCUGACUGCGAUCAGAGAGAGUUGAAUUACACUUUGUAAAUCUCUCCUGGAGAAACAAAACAAAUUAAGUUAAAAUCAGAGAUUGGUAAACAAGGUGCAUAAAAAAGUAUAUACUAUAUAAAUGACAAUUACCCUCUGAAAGCAAAAAUCCUCGCCUUAAAACAGCUACGAUGAACCAGCCAGCUCAACACCAUCUACAAAAGAAAAAAAGAAAAAAUGUAUAACUUCAAAAAAUUAAAUCCAGAAGUUAUCUAUCGGAUACCA